rnacentral:rRNA from 1 species
UACGUAGGGUCCAAGCGUUGUCCGGAUUUAUUGGGCGUAAAGGGUGCGUAGGCGGCGGAGUAAGUUGGGUGUGAAAUCCCGGGGCUCAACCUCGGAAUGGCAUUCAAUACUGCUUCGCUAGAGUACUGGAGAGGAGGCUGGAAUUUACGGUGUAGCAGUGAAAUGCGUAGAUAUCGUAAGGAAGGCCGGUGGCGAAAGCGAGCCUCUGGACAGUUACUGACGCUGAUGCACGAAGGCCAGGGGAGCAAACGGG